rnacentral:rRNA from 1 species
UACGAAGGGGGCUAGCGUUGCUCGGAAUCACUGGGCGUAAAGCGCACGUAGGCGGCUUUCUAAGUCAGGGGUGAAAUCCUGGGGCUCAACUCCAGAACUGCCUUUGAUACUGGAGAGCUUUAGUCCGGGAGAGGUGAGUGGAACUCCGAGUGUAGAGGUGAAAUUCGUAGAUAUUCGGAAGAACACCAGUGGCGAAGGCGGCUCACUGGCCCGGUACUGACGCUGAUGUGCGAAAGCGUGGGGAGCAAACAGG